AUUGAACGCUGGCGGCAGGCCUAACACAUGCAAGUCGAGCGGAUGAAGGGAGCUUGCUCCUGUAUUCAGCGGCGGACGGGUGAGUAAUGCCUAGGAAUCUGCCUGGUAGUGGGGGAUAACGUCCGUAAACGGGCGCUAAUACCGCAUACGUCCUGAGGGAGAAAGUGGGGGAUCUUCGGACCUCACGCUAUCAGAUGAGCCUAGGUCGGAUUAGCUAGUUGGUGGGGUAAAGGCCUACCAAGGCGACGAUCCGUAACUGGUCUGAGAGGAUGAUCAGUCACACUGGAACUGAGACACGGUCCAGACUCCUACGGGAGGCAGCAGUGGGGAAUAUUGGACAAUGGGCGAAAGCCUGAUCCAGCCAUGCCGCGUGUGUGAAGAAGGUCUUCGGAUUGUAAAGCACUUUAAGUUGGGAGGAAGGGCAGUAAGUUAAUACCUUGAUGUUUUGACGUUACCAACGGAAUAAGCACCGGCUAACUUCGUG
rnacentral:rRNA from 1 species